GUCUGGAUGGCUUAGCAGUCAGAGCAUCUGCCUAGUAAGCAGGAGACCUGGGUUCGAAUCUCGGUCUGGCACA